rnacentral:rRNA from 1 species
GAUGAACGCUGGCGGCGUGCUUAAUACAUGCAAGUCGAACGGAGAUAGUAGCAAUAUUAUCUUAGUGGCGAACGGGUGAGUAACGCGUUGGUGACCUGCCCCGAAGAGAGGGAUAGCAGUUCGAAAGGACUGAUAAUACCUCAUGUGGUUGUUGGUUUUAGAAUCUGACAACUAAACGGAUUUAUUCGCUUCGGGAGGGGCCUGCGUCCCAUCAGCUAGUUGGUAGGGUAAUGGCCUACCAAGGCGAUGACGGGUAGGGGACCUGAGAGGGUGGCCCCCCACAAUGGAACUGAAACACGGUCCAUACACCUACGGGUGCCAGCAGUAGGGAAUAUUGGUAAUCUGCGAAAGCGGGAACCAGCAACGCCGCGUGCACGAUGAAGGCCUUCGGGUCGUAAAGUGCUUUUAGAGAGGAUGAGGAAGGACAGUACUUUCUGAAUAAGCCUCGGCUAACUACGUGCCAGCCGCCGCCGUAAGAC